AUGAACGCUGGCGGCGUGCUUAAUACAUGCAAGUCGAACGGAGAUAGUAGCAAUAUUAUCUUAGUGGCGAACGGGUGAGUAACGCGUUGGUGACCUGCCCCGAAGAGAGGGAUAGCAGUUCGAAAGGACUGAUAAUACCUCAUGUGGUUGUUGGUUUUAGAAUCUGACAACUAAAUGGAUUUAUUCGCUUCGGGAGGGGCCUGCGUCCCAUCAGCUAGUUGGUAGGGUAAUGGCCUACCAAGGCGAUGACGGGUAGGGGACCUGAGAGGGUGGCCCCCCACAAUGGAACUGAAACACGGUCCAUACACCUACGGGUGGCAGCAGUAGGGAAUAUUAGAAAUGGACGAAAGUCUGAUCUAGCAACACCGCGUGUGCGAAGAAGGCCUUCGGGUCGUAAAGCACUUUUUGGAAGGAAUAGGAAGGAAUGUACUUCCAGAAUAAGUCUCGGCUAACUACGU
rnacentral:rRNA from 1 species